GGCAGCUGACUGAGUUCUUGCGGAAGGUGUCCAUGGGAGACUGCACAAGGUGGCUGGGGAACUUCUUGUUGCCCAGGGAGGAGAUGCUGGAGUCUACAGCGCAGCCACCCACAACCUCAGGAGCCGUCCCAUCCAAGGUCACGGCCACCAUGCCCAUGUCCUGGACCUUUCUCCUGCUCCUCACCGGCUCAGUCCUCCUUGUCAGGUGUCUUCACUAGCUUGACCAGUGCAGUUGAUGCAAGAUGUGAUAUGGAAGCUUGAAGAGCUUGAGGCAAAUGGGAUGGAGACAUUGGGCUGCCAGAGAAGGCUGAUGCACAAGUU